rnacentral:rRNA from 1 species
GACGGAGGAUGCAAGUGUUAUCCGGAAUCACUGGGCGUAAAGCGUCUGUAGGUGGUUUAAUAAGUCAACUGUUAAAUCUUGAGGCUCAACUUCAAAAUCGCAGUCGAAACUAUUAGACUAGAGUAUAGUAGGGGUAAAGGGAAUUUCCAGUGGAGCGGUGAAAUGCGCAGAUAUCGCUUGGAACGCCAAAGGUGAAAACAGGUUGCUGGGGUUGUGCCGACGCUGAGACAUGAAAGCCAGGGGAGCAAACGGG